GGAGGUUCUGCAUGGUGUGGUGAAGUAGAGUCCUGUAAGGCUGUAACUUAGCGUCUUUCCACUGCAGGGAGAACGCCUGACAGAGGGUGACACUAAUGGAGAAGAAAGCAGAGCUGAAGGAAGACACUCUGAAUCCCUGGAUCCACCUGCGCUUCUCCACGUUUUGCUUUCCCACCUGAGCAGUCAGGAGGCUGUUCCUCUCCAGAUUCUCCUUUCGGGUUAAGCUACUCUGUAUUGAGUGUUUGACACUUGUACCUAAAAGGAUUCUAACUCACUGUGUCCUCUCCACUGAAAAGUGAAGAAACAGGACAGGGAAUUGACCUGCCCGUGGUCACUGGGAGGCUGAGUGACAGAACUAGGACUGGUACCAGGCCUUGAAGGUGAGUGACACCUGUUGUCCUAUAAGCAGGUACACGCGGUGUGAUUGUUACUGGGCAGUGCCAGCUUCAGGAGAGGCACGCAUCUUCCAUCCUUCAGGACAGACAGCCAGGUGGGAGAGGUCCCAGGCCCUGGGAAAGUGUUCACCAGCCCAGAGACCGGCCACCAAAGGCUCUUUGAAGAUGUGAAGCUGAGCAUCCCCAGAGUGACCUGCAGAGUCCAGAGCCUGGUCCUCACCUGCCCAGAGAGCAGCAAGCCAGACACGUCCCUGAGUACACAGAGCCACCUUCUCUAGGAGGCAAAGACUGUGGCCCAUCCCAACCCAGCCUGACUCAGGACGGCCAGAGCCAGUGCCAGGGUCCCUGGCCUGGGGUGAGGGAUCCUAAGAGGGGGCUGAACUAUGACCAGGGGGGAAUCUGUGCUCUAGGCUGGCCAAGAACGUGUGUCACUAAGCCAGUGCUUCCUGUCUUCAUUCCUACCUUCAGUUUGGCCAUAGCCAAGUUUCACUUUUUCUUUUGUUUUCCCAUUUCAAUGAAUAUCUACAAUCAAAUUAGUGUCACUUGUCAAAAGUAAAUAUUGGCCUCAAAGAGAAAUACAAAGAUG
rnacentral:lncRNA from 1 species